AUCCUACGGGGGGCAGCAGUGGGGGAUAUUGCACAAUGGGGGGAACCCUGAUGCAGCGACGCCGCGUGGGUGAAGAAGCGUUUCGGCGCGUAAAGCCCUGUCAGCAGGGAAGAAGAUGACGGUACCUGACCAAGAAGCCCCGGCUAACUACGUGCCAGCAGCCGCGGUAAUACGUAGGGGGCAAGCGUUAUCCGGAUUUACUGGGUGUAAAGGGGGCGCAGACGGCGAUGCAAGCCAGGAGUGAAAGCCCGGGGCCAAACCCCGGGACUGCUCUUGGAACUGCGUGGCUGGAGUGCAGGAGGGGG
rnacentral:rRNA from 1 species